UGGUGGACUGAUUAAUAAAGAUACUUGUAUCAAACUAGAUAUCACUGGAAUCAAAAUGAUCUCUAGUUUAUAAUGGAAUAAAAAAAAGUGCACUUUUAAUGGUAUAAAAAAGUUUUAUCCAGAGAAACUGGGAAAAACAUUGCCUAAUUUAAGCUUAAAAAACCUGAAAUCAGGUCAUGUGCACACCCCUGAAAACAUGAUACCUGCACAUUUUUCAUAAUCAA
rnacentral:lncRNA from 1 species